rnacentral:rRNA from 1 species
GUCUUUGGCCAUACUACCCUGGAUGCAUCUGAUCUCGUCUGUUUUUGAAAGCUAAGCAGGAUUGUGCUUGAUUAGUAUGUGGGUAGGAUAAAGCCUUUUUUUUAAGUGCAUGUUAUAGAAGAAU